AGCUUUGCGCAGUGGCGGUAUUGCAGCUUAUGAGGUUGAACCAAGGCACGGUUAUUGCUUAUUGAAAACUUUACCCUAUAUCUUGCUGUGCUGAUUUGCAAUCUAAUUAGUCAUAGCAAUUUUUGAUGAUCUCUGCAGAGC